rnacentral:sRNA from 1 species
AGCACAGCCCUUCUCUGCAGCCUAACGACCUGAGUCAGCUCAGUAAACAAGGGACUCACUCGGUUUCACAUUAAAAGCACCGACCCUUAAGCUGUAGUGUAAUUUUACUUUGAUAACUUUUUUUUUAAUUUUAGAAAAAAAAAUCCUUCUUCAGCAGAAGGUGUACUGAGAGAGUCUUUCUUUUCAGAUGGUCAUUUCCCCACCCAUCCCCAAAUCAGGGUGUGUCUAAAGCUGCUUACUCCCAGCUGCUGAAGGACGCCUCACUUCCCCCUAACUGCCUCUGAGUCCCUGCCAUUGAUUUCUCUCUGUCACUGACCCAGUAGAAGAGUUUCUUCUCCAUGGCCCAACAGUUAAAGAGGGCUGGCUGUUCUUCCAGAAGACUGGGGUUUCCGGCACCCACAUGGUGGCCCACAACUUACUCCAACCCCAGUUCCAGGGACUCUGACAGCCCCUCUGACCACUGGUUGGGACCAGGCACACACAUGACGCAUAGACACACGUGUAGGCAAAACUCUCAUUCAGAAAGGCCUUGGUUCUUGGUUCUUGUCCCACUGAGGAACCCCAACUCUGCCAUGGAACUCAGUCCCCAAGCGAAGUUAAUGCACAAAUAUAAGGUCAGUGUGUUACAAAUAUAAGGUCAGUGUGUUACAACACUAAAUCUGAUUUUUAAAAUAAAUUCUGUCUGUUGGACUAAAGCAAUGGUCAUUUUAUAAACAAACAAACAAACAAACCUUUUCUGCAAAGCCGAGUGAAUUCUUACUUUUUCUUACUCGAAGCUCUUUCCCAUCCAAGAAUCUAUAGGCUAAAGACUCAGUAAGAGAGUUCUGGGAACUGAGUCAGUGUGGGUCUGCCAAGGUUAAAUUUAAGUUUCUACAUUUUAAGACCCAAGGGCCAGAUCUUAGGCUUUGUGGUAAAAUAUCCAAAGUAACUCAGUUACGAGUCAUCUUACAAGACAGUCGGUCUCCUUACAGCAGAAGCCAGUCUGUUAGACUUGAAGAAGCAGGACAGAUUUACUGUGCAGGAUUGGAUU